rnacentral:lncRNA from 1 species
ACCAUGCUCUUUUAAUAAUCUUCCCAUUAGGGAAUCCAACUACUGAAGAAGGAUAUAACCUUGAGAGAUUUAACCAAUCCUUGAAUCUAGUAUUCAUAAUGUGUCAUCUGAUCAUAGAAAAAAAAUAUUAUCAGACUGCACUGAUAAAUAGUGGCUUGACCCUGAAGUCUUCCUCUGGCAUAAGUACAAACUUAGGAUGUCCUGGAAGCUGAAACUCUAACUCAAAUAUAAGCAAUGCAGAGUGUUCAUUAAGGAUGUUUCAUCUGAAAGAAACAUGCUAGCAGUCUAACAUCACAUUCCUGUAUCAAUCAUAACACAAAACGCAGAACGAAAAGUCUUCCAUCCUCCGAAUUCCUCCCACUUCUCCCCAAGUUACAUCUUCUAGCAGCUCACCCCUGUGAAGAGGAACUUUGUUAGUGUUUUCCAGUAAAUGAAUGAGGAAUUACUGAAAUAGUCCUGAAAUUGGUCUUAUGCUUGAGCCUGCUUUCUUUUCCUCCAGCAUUUCCGGUUGAAUCUCGUUCCACAGAUUUUCCUGCAGUCUCUUCAACUUCAGACAAGGCCUUUGCUGAGCUCACUCCAAGAAUUUCUCUUCAUUUCUGCAGGGAAAUAACCUAAGGCGCCACAAUAUUACCUAUCAGGGCAGCAUAGCAGAGCUGAAAUCUCUGUGAAGAAGAGGAUUUACCCUAAGGAGAAGAGAAAAUGGAGUCAGAAGUCAGAGUGAAGGAAAGCAUUGAAAGUAAGUGACAACAGAAAACAGUAACUUUCAUCAAAUUGCUUUUGCAUCUGGCGCCUGUCUUCUACGUUGCCAAAUAUAUGCACUCCUGCAUGAUGGAGCGUGGGAGGGCUGUGAUUAGUCUCAGGAAGAGAGGGGCAGAUGUCGGACAUUCUGCAGCAUUCAACACAAGUGAACAGCAUUUAGAAAAACAAGACACUUAUGUUGCCCCAGGAGAGCUCAUCUUUCAAGAAAAUAUGAACCACUGAAUUUUGUAGGGGUGCACGGAUCCAAGCUGCUAGACACUGGAGCAAGUUUCAUACAAGCGUGUCUGAGCUUCAGCAUUGUAUAGCAGAAGUUUUCUUCAGAAGGAGCCCAAGAAGAGUAUAUCCUCAACCUACACCUUUUUUUAGUUUGAAUUUCCUACACUAUCUUUGAGAUGCCUCUCAGCCAGAUGACUUCUCACUUCCACUAACCCUUUUUAUAGUUAAGUGACUGUAUGAGGUUUCACAGUACUACUCUAGAGGCUUACAAGUCAGUCUCAUGAGUUCGCCUACAGCUCCAGUUCCUCUUGUAGCAAUCGUUUACUUCCAGAUUGGAAGAUCCAUACAAAAUGGAAAGUAUGUAUAGUAUGGAAAGUGGCUUGAGGAUGUGUUCAAUGACCAGCCUUCAAUAUAACUAAUCUUAUAAAAGGAAAUCUCAUCAGCAAGAUGUAUAAAAUGCUGGUGGGGAUUAACUACAAUAUCGAACCUAAGAAGAACUCAUAACUGUUGGAAGUAAUAACAACAGGGCUAUCGUUUGCAUAUUCUUUGCCAUACAACACACCAGUUGACAAACCCCCCUAAUAAAAGGCUCAGACCAAUUGGAGGAGAGGCAGUAACAAUCCAUACUGAUCUGACUGAAAUUUUUGUAAAUAGAUUAAGCAAUACAGGCUGAAGGACACCAGAGAAAUGACUGAAAUAUUGCUAAAUGCCCCCUGAAAGUCAUUUAGCUUAGGCUCUGGUUGCAAACAAACUGGAUUAUGGAAGUGCUGUCAUCAAGAAAGAUUAUAUUAUGUUCAAACAGAUUCAUCAGGUGCAAUCAAGUCAAUCUCUAUUCAGGGAGAAACAAAGCACUCUGUUAAAAAUAAGUCCAUAUCAUAACAUUGUCCAGGGAAUAUUAUGGUUGAUAGUGAAUGUGAGCUGAAAAAAAUUCUCAGUCAUCUCUCUUAUUCACAGUAAAAAAAGAACAAACACUUUCUAAACAGUUGAGAUUCAUUGUUAGAUAGCAAGCCAUGAAAAUUGUAUGUCAGUAAGCAUUUUUUUCCCCCACGCAGAGUUUAGUUAAGAAAUGUAACAUACAGGGUAGUGUCUUUCUGCCAUAUAUUCAGUGCUUCUUGCUUAAGACAGGGAUCAACCUUCGCAUACGAUCCUGCAAAUAACACACAGCUGGAAAUCCAGAAAUGAAUGUAUGUCAUGCAACACCUACUGAUUAUCAAAAGGCUUGACUGUGGACUUCCAAGGAGCCACACUGAGACCUUGCAAGAUCUGACAGCUCUUCUUUCUAUGUUUCUAACACCUCAUUUGAACAUUUAAGCAAGUUUUAGCAACUGGGAUCAUCUGUCCAGCCUAUCCACUCAUCCCAUGUGCCUGUAAUCUGUCAUAAAUUCAGGUUUCAUUAUUGGCAGAAUUUAUGAGCUGGGAUUAUGUUGUCUUUGUAGAAGAGACUAGUAUGAUAACAAAGGAAUGGUUUUCUGAGACAAUAAAACUCUAAAAGUCACUCUAGAGACGUUUUGGAAAAUAAGAUCAAAGUUCUUUGAAAAUAAUCCCAUAAAACUACUGCAACUAAUACUACUUUAAGUAUCUGGUUUGCAAAGACAUUUGAGCAGUACACUGACAAACAUUGCAGUCCAUUUUCAAAUUGAUUUAGACACCAAAGGCAAAAGCUACAAACAAAAGUGGUAACUUGUGGUCCUCAGCAAGGGGAAGAGGGAUGAGGUCCUCAGAAAAGUGACCUGAAACCAAAUCUUUCCUACAACAGGAAGGCACUCCAACUUCCUUACUAUUCACAGGAUACAGGUGUUUAUCUGCUCUGCUUUCGGCCUCCUGGAUCUCAAGUUGUUUUUUUUUUUUUUUUUUUUUUUUUUUUUUUUUUUUUUUUUAAGAUGAAAUCUGGUAAGAGUGGUCUGAGAAAGAAAAAACAGUUUGAACCAUCCAGGUCUUUUUUUGAAUCCUGAUGUAGUCUAAACGUGAGUUAGCUACAUUGUCCCACAAUUACCAAAGGUUUAGGAUGCUUUCCUCUUGUAGAGAAACAGAUAUAAAACUGUGUGGAUUUGGAGAUGCUGACUAGGCACAUUUGUUCUCCUGUAGGUCUCAUUCUUAGUUUCAUUGAAUACAAGUGGGGCUUACUCUUCUUCAUGACCAAGCCAUGACUAAAAGUGAUUCUUGGCCAUCCAAAAAACUUUGACCUUGUAAUACUAGGAUAACUCAGAGCAUCUUCAUACUUGCUCAGAUGAAUCAUUUCUUCUAAUUGCUGAAAAGGAGUUUUGGGGAGAGGAACAAGGCUAGAAAAUGUUACGCAGUUUCAUUCUCCCAUACUGCAGCAGCUGACAUAGACUUUAUCAUGUUUCCUUUCCCCACAUAUUCCCUCUCCCCUCACAGCUUCAAGUGAAGCAGAAAAAAUUCCUCUGCCUACCUCCAUUUCUCCCUCCUUCUCCUGCACCACACAGUGUUACUGCUAAUCAGCAACAUUUUCUUUGGCUGACAGCUCAACCCCAUGUUGUCUCCUGAUCAAUGCUGAUACAGCACAUCCCAGCACACAGGAAAGGACAAAAGAAGGCAUAGAGGUCUGGGAGGGUAGUAAGAGUAACUGUGGGUUAUAUAUUGAGUUGUGCUAUGUGCACAUCUAUGUGGACACUUGGUAUGCCCAUGCCUUCAGCACUGACGGUCAAAGAGCAUCCUGAAUGAGUGCCAUCCUGUUACUCUGGAUGAGUGGUUCAUGCUGUUCCAGUCCCAAGCAGAAGGAAUAAAACCUCAAGGUGGCUAUGCAAAGUGGUAUAGGGAUCAAAAAUGCAGACAGUGUGGGAAAUAAUUAUAUCCAGUUUGUUAUGUAGUCACCAUCACCUUUCAGGUAGGUCUUUCCAGGGUGUUCUCCCAGUGUAGCUGAAGAAAAAGGACACUAUUCUCUUUUCCAUUACCCCCCAACCAAGGUGCGUGACUACUGACCAAAAGUGAAAUCAGGAAUGCUGUGGGCAACAGGCAUUUUAGUUUCACACCUUAAACAUGAGACAGGGAAUGAGCAGAAUAAAUGUAAGUUCUUCCUUCAUGUCAGACCUCACAGAGGAAGCAGCUGUAGGAACAGUGAUACUCUCCCAGCAUGUGAGUGGGAAAGGCAGAAAAGGUUGGGAUUAAAGCCCCAGUUCUUGCACCUUGUAUAGAGAAGCCUCUUCUAGCUCAUGUAAAGUAAUCCUGUGGUGACAAAGGCAGCCUGUGGUUGUUGAAAUCUGAGGCUCAGUAAUACAGACAGAGCAGCAGCUCUUGGAACUACUGAUGCUGAAACUCCAGCCUCCACAGAAUCACAUAAUGGCCCAGAUUGGAAGGGACCUCAAGGAUCAUGAGCCACCCCUGCCACAGGCAGGGCCAACCAACCUCCACAUUUGAUACUAGACCAAGCUGCCCAAGGCCCUAUCCAACCUGGCCUUGAACACCUCUGGGGAUGGGGAAUCCAUAACCUCUCUGGGCAGCCUGUUCCAGCACCUCACCACUCUCAUAUUAAAGAGCUUCCCCCUGACAUCCAAACUAAUUCUUCCCUCUUUCAACUUAAAACCAUUUCCCCUUGUCCUGCUGUUAUCUACCCUUUCAAAGAGUUGACUCCACUCCUGUUUAUAGGUUCCCUUUAGGUACUGAAAGGCUGCAAUGAGGUCACCCCCACAUCCUUCUUUUCUUCAGGCUGAACAAGCCCAGCUCCCUCAGCCUGUCUUCACCAGGGAGGUGCUCCAGCCCUCUGGUCAUCUUUCUGGCCCUUCUCUGGACCCUCCUCAACAGCUCUUUGUCUUUCUUGUAUUGGGGGCUACAGACCUGGAUGCAGUACUCAAGAUGGGGCCUCAUGAGGGCAGAGUAGAGAGGGACAAUCACCUCCCUGUCCUUGCUGGCCACCCCUCUUCUGGUGGAGCCCAGGAUACCAUUUGCUUUCUGAGCUGCAAGAGCACACUGCUGGCUCAUGUUCAGUUUUUCAUCCACCAGGACCCCCGGGUCCUUCUCUUCAGGGCUAGUCUCAAGGAAUGUUCCUUCCAGCCUGUAUAUAUGCUUGGGAUUCCUCUGACCCAAGUGAAAAACCUUGCACUUUGCUGUGUUGAACCUCAUUAAAUUCACCCGGGGCCCACCUUUUAAGUCCACUGAGGUACCUUUGAAUGACAUCCCUUCCUUCCACCGUGUCAACCACACCACUCCUCUUGGUGUCAUCAGUAAACUUGCUGAGGGUGCAGUCAAUUCCAUCAUUGGUGUCACUGAUAAAGAUGUUAAAGAACACAACCUCCUGCAGUUGCUGGCAAAGUUCGUCAUAUUCUAUGCUGGAUUUGGACAUAGAUCCUGAUAAUCUUGAAUGUUUUGAAAACUCCAUAAGGAAGUAGCUCUGAUUUCAUAGCACCAGAAUUAAUUUUUUCUAACAUCACCUUUAAAAAUAUAUAUCAACAGCAAACAGCAACAAAGCUGGUUGACAGCGCAUAUGCCAUAGAUACAGAUGGAAAAAACAUAACAUUGUAGAGUGAAGAGAGUACACUUAAAGAAAAGUAGCAAUGGUUAUGAGUGCAUUUAAUAUUUGUGCAUUCACUGAAAUAGGGUUUAGUUCUGAUAAAUCUGAAGUUUAUCUUUAGGUUUGGAUGCUGAAUCAAUGCCAUCUAGUGGUGGUAGAUGUGUUCUGGUCUUAAAGUUCACAGCCAUUUUAACAUCACUGAAGUUCCACCUAAUUAACACUUUCUUGGUGUCUUUCAUACCCUUUUAAAACUAGUCUAAAUGUUCGAUCCAGAUUAAACAACUAAGAGCCACUGAUAUAUAUAAUGAUCGAUUAUUCAUUAAUUUACUAAUUCAAAAAUGUUCAAGUUUCUAUUAAUUCAAAUAACUGUAUCACAGAUGAAGGCUUUGUUCUGUUAAAGGCAGCAUUAAAUGACAACUUAUUUAAUCCUUCUAAUUUUUAAACGAACGUCUUUGCUUCACCAUAGAUUAAAGAGACAGAACCACUACACUAAAAAAGCCAUGUGAGUUUACCUAAAUAAAGGUAUUUCCUCACUGUGAGUUGCUUUUUAUUAGCUUUUAACUAGCUCCUAGUUUGCAGGUGUUUGUCAUCACACCUGGCCCCUCAGCAAUAAAUUCUUCUGAGACAACAAGAUCUGAGAAGAACGAGAGUUAACAUGUAGGAUUCAUUUCAAAGCUACACAGCAAGGCAAGGAAGUUCUGAGCCCUCUGUAGUCAUUUAUAUAAAAAAUAAGCUAUUUUGGUGGUCUGUUGUUUGCUUACAGAGUAUGGGCAGAAGUGAAAUGUCAGAAAUAAAUGUAAACUUAUCUCAUUACCCCUACAGGUUGGUAGUGGUGGUGGGCGUAAAUCAGGAGAUAAACACAGUUGUGAGCAUUAUACUUAUGGACCAUGCAACUAUUACAGCAGGAGUGCUGAAAGGGCAUCCUCUGGCCUAACUGAUCAUUUCCUUAAUAUAUUCCUUAUUCGAGGACUUUUAGUAGACUAUGCACAUUCAUAAACGUUUGGUAUUCUGUUGAGUGCUCUGUAUCAAAAUGCAUAUCUCAGAUAUGCUAUUUCUCUGAUUUAUUCCUGCUAUAAAUGCCGAUUUACAGCUUACCUGUAGGUGACAGAAGGACAGAUGAGUUGGAAGUUGCACUGAAAUGUGAAAUAGUUCUUUGCUGAGUAAGAAAACUUGGUAAAAAUUUGCAUAUCUUCUCAUUUGUGCCCAAAGGAAUUUCAACACAACUAAAGUUGAAAAAGCAUAAGAUUCUGUGGGCAGGAGCCCCAGAAAAAUUGCAGUGAGAGGAUCCUUUGCUUUGUGUUUAUGUCUUCUUCUGUUACAUUGUCCUCUUUGUAUGUUUAUUCCUAUUCUUUUUCUCUUAUAUGUUUCAUGAGCUUCUUCAAAUAUGUCCUUUUAAAAAAAGUGAAAAUUCAGUCUUGUCUUGUAAUUAGUGCUGCUAUAGGAGAUUAGGCUUUGAGAAGUUAGCUGCUGCUAGGAGGCACUGCCAGCUUUUUUCCCUUUAUGAGAAGUCCUUUGGGACUUUAUGGAAAAAAAAAAAAAAAAAAGCCAGACAGUGCAACUACAGGUUCUUAUAUCAGCUCUAACAUGUUUUUUACAAGUGGACAAAAAUCAAUGAAUACAAAAUCUUCUAAGACAUUUGCAAAAGCAAAGAAUAUUUAUCUAAACAGUACAUGAAAAACAAAGAAAGAGCAUCUGCAGUUGUAUUUAUAUAAUAUCACAUUAUGUUAUAUAUAUAUAUAUUAUAAUGCAACGUGCAACCUGUAACAGACAGGAAUCACAUACAAUUCUUGUUUCCUUUCCAAACGAUUGUUGUUUAUUCUGUUCCUUACAG